UUAUAAAUAAAAGCGCCAAAAUGGCGGGUCAAUUUCGGGUUUCAAAAGAGCAGGACUGUGUCACAGCAGCGAUGCAGAAACAAACUGCAGUUCACGAUUUGACCACGAGAGAGCGUUCUUGCUCCAACACAACCAGAUGAAGACCAUCACAAAAUAACAGCCAUGACUCAAGAUGGACAAAAAGACAUCCACAAAUGUUUCUGGUCAGUCUCGAGUGUUUGAUAAAUCUCUUGGCUGCUCUUUCCUGCCCAUUUGUCUCCAACGGAAGCCCCCAAUUAAAGCCUCUCAAGUGGCGCUCAUUUCCCACCCAAUGCUGCUUCAAACUUGCUGUGUGCAUGUGUGAUAUAUGUGUGACUUGUAUAUGCUUGCAGCGUUUCGUAAUGUUUACAUUCUGUUUUGUUUAAGUUUUUUUCUUUCAACAGUCAAUAAAUAACAGCUCGGACCACUUUUGCCGUCAAUAAAUGCUCAGUUGAAUUACAUUAACACCCCCCC